rnacentral:rRNA from 1 species
UACGGAGGAUGCGAGCGUUAUCCGGAUUUAUUAGGUUUAAAGGGUGUGUAGGCGGGGUGGCAAGUCAGCGGUGAAAGCCCAAAGCUCAACUUUGGAACUGCCGUAGAUACUGCUGUCCUUGAGUAUAGUUGAAGUAGGCGGAAUGUGUCAUGUAGCGGUGAAAUGCUUAGAUAUGACACAGAACACCGAUUGCGAAGGCAGCUUACUAAACUAUCACUGACGCUGAGGCACGAAAGCGUGGGGAGCAAACAGG